AAACCAUGGUGUGGACACAUUCUUAGUAGUUCCUUAUAUCUCUCCCAUGCUUCAUAAGUGACUCGUUCUCCUCCUAUAGAAAUGAUGUGAUAUCAUUUCUCAUCUU